AUGUCCAGUUUUUGAACAUGAAUAAUUACAUUAUGUUUUUGUGUUAGUGCUGGAAGGAUUUUUGUAUAUUUUGAUUUAUUCCAUAAGAAGAUGUGGCAAGCAGAUAGAUUGAAAAUGCAUUUUUAUUUGUCUAUCUUUUAAUUCUCUUCCUUUCUUAUUGGUUUUCACUUUUGUUUCUCGGUCAUUUUUGCUAGAAAUCACUUUAGAAAUACAUGAUCAAUGCCAUUGAAGUAGAAGGUCGUGGAUGCUGCAUUGAUCAAAUCCAUUGAAGCAGUACCGGAGUUGAAGGAUUAUUUGGGUGCAGCGAGCAUACUUAAGUAGUAUCGAUUAAGUAGUAUAUAUUUUCAUGACUUUUUUUUUUUUUUGUGUGUGGUAAUAUCCGUUGUUGUAUGUACUAUGGAUAUGACCAUAAUUUUUGUUAUAAAUAAGUUUGAUGUUUAAAUAUAUUUUCAAUUU